rnacentral:rRNA from 1 species
UUCUAGGACCGCCGUAAUGAUUAAUAGGGACAGUCGGGGGCAUCAGUAUUCAAUUGUCAGAGGUGAAAUUCUUGGAUUUAUCUGAAGACUAACUACUGCGAAAGCAUUUGCCAAGGAUGUUUUCAUUAAUCAGGAACGAAAGUUAGGGGAUCGAAAACGAUCAAAUACCCGCCUAAUCUUAACCAUAAACUAUGCCGACUAGGGAUCGGACGGGGUUACUUAUUGACCCGUUCCGCACCUUACGAAAAAUCAAAGUCUUUGGGUUCUGGGGGGAGUAUGGGCCCAAGGGUGAAACUUAAAGAAAUUGACGGAAGGGCACCCCCAGGGGUGGAGCCUGCGGCUUAAUUUGACUCCACACGGGGAAACUCACCAGGGCCAGACACAAUGAGGAUUGACAGAUUGAAAGCUCUUUCUUGAUUUUGUGGGUGGUGGUGCAUGGCCGUUCUUAGUUGGUGGAGUGAUUUGUCUGCUUAAUUGCCAUAACGAACGAGACCUUCACCUGCUAAUAGCCCCUACUGCUUUGGCAGUACGCUGGCUUCUUAGAGGGACUAUCCGCUCAGCGGAUGGAAGUUUGAGGCAAUAACAGGUCUGUGAUGCCCUUAGAUGUUCUGGGCCGCACGCGCGUUACACUGACAGAGCCAGCGAGUACCUC